rnacentral:lncRNA from 1 species
UAAAUUAUAAGAAGCCGAUAUGAUGGUCAUCCUAAACCUCUAAUAAUCAUUUGUGCUCAAUUAGAGAGUGAUGUGUCAUGUCGUGAGAGGAGCAGGAGGUCCUAGCUUGUGGGCCUUUCUUCAUGGUGGCAAAGGGUGUUUUAAGGACUAACCCUGUGUGGCAACUUUGAGCGGGUCAGCUGUUCCACCACACAUGUGCAUAACUAUUCAUGGCUCGACAGUUAUACUAGAUGGUAAAGGGUUUGGCCAAGCCUGAGUUAGUAUGUGUGAAGAGAAAUAAUGUGAAAGUUAUUGUGUGCUUGAACUUGUAUAUAUAGUGUUUACUUUAGUAUGAAUGAUUAUUUUUAAAAUAACUUACCCUUUCUUGCAUGUUUCUUAGUUGUUUGUUCUAUGUGUAUUUUCUUUGGCGAUGAUCAUUUAGUGGGUGUGAGUAGAGCAAGAUGAUGUGUGCGUUGAGCAAGCAUUAGGCGGAGAGGCUUCUGAUCUAUAAUGUUUUUAGACUGUUUUCUUUAGAGUACUUAUAAUUUCUUGGUGGACUUUUGAUACACAAGUAUUGUACAUAGUUUUGAUAAUAGUACAUGUUGUAUAUAAAGUUAGAGUUAUAGUUUUCUUUGGAUGACUAUAAGAAUGACUUUAUACUUUUUAUCAAUCUUGUUAACUGAUCUAUCAUAUUAACUAUGUGGUGACUGUUAUAUAGUUACAUGCUAUAUUUUGAGAUGUUAUAUUUUUGGUAUCAGAGUAGAUCUUUCCUUAGGAAUCCUGUAGGUUAUAAGUGUAUUAUGCUUGUGUUGUGUACUCAUAGUUAGGUUUGGUUGGUAUCCUUGUUUCUUUGAGUUGGACUGAUGAGUUUUCUCUCUGUGUAAGCAGAGAAGAUGACACCUAGGCCUCCUCCUCCUCCAC